rnacentral:tRNA from 1 species
CAGGAAAUAGUUUAUUUAUUAAAAUGUUAAUUUUGGGGAUUAAUGAAGAGAGGAAUCUUUUUUCUGA